UAGUACGGCGAGUGAAGCGGGAAGAGCUCAACUUCAAAAGCCAGUGCCCCGGCGGGCAUUGGCGAUGUGGGGUAGAGGGGUGUUGCCUAGCCAGCGGGCCGAGUCAAAAUCCGUUGGAAAACGGUGCCAUGGAGGGUGAGAGCCCCGUCUAUGGCUCGGAACUCGCGGCGUCCGGCACAUCUCGGACGAGUCGAGUUGUUUGGGAAUGCAGCUCCAAGUGGGAGGUAAAUUCCUUCUAAAGCUAAAUAUUGACGAGAGACCGAUAGCGAACAAGUACUGUGAAGGAAAGAUGAAAAGCACUUUGAAAAGAGAGUGAAAAAGUACGUGAAAUUGUUAAAAGGGAAGGGUAUUGAAUCAGACUUGGUGCUGUUGUUCAACUGUGUUUCGGCAUAGUGUACUCAGCAGUACUAGGCCAAGGUGGGGUGUUUGGGAGUGAAAAAGAAGUAGGAAGGUAGCUCUUCGGAGUGUUAUAGACUACUUUCAUAGCUCCUUAGGCGCCUCAGGACUGCGCUUCGGCAAGGACCUUGGCAUAAUGAUUCUAUACCGCCCGUCUUGAACAACGGAAACAA
rnacentral:rRNA from 1 species